GAUGAACGCUGGCGGCGUGCCUAAUACAUGCAAGUCGAGCGAACAGACGAGGAGCUUACUCCUCUGACGUUAGCGGCGGACGGGUGAGUAACACGUGGAUAACCUACCUAUAAGACUGGGAUAACUUCGGGAAACCGGAGCUAAUACCGGAUAACAUGUUGAACCGCAUGGUUCAACAGUGAAAGACGGUCUUGCUGUCACUGAUAGAUGGAUCCGCGUCGCAUUAGCUAGUUGGUAAGGUAACGGCUUACCAAGGCAACGAUGCGUAGCCGACCUGAGAGGGUGAUCGGCCACACUGGAACUGAGACACGGUCCAGACUCCUACGGGAGGCAGCAGUAGGGAAUCUUCCGCAAUGGGCGAAAGCCUGACGGAGCAACGCCGCGUGAGUGAAGAAGGUCUUCGGAUCGUAAAACUCUGUUAUUAGGGAAGAACAAAUGUGUAAGUAACUAUGCACGUCUUGACGGUACCUAAUCAGAAAGCCACGGCUAACUACGUG
rnacentral:rRNA from 1 species